rnacentral:lncRNA from 1 species
GCAAGACCCCAAGUCUAAUGCUCUGAGUUGAAAAGGAGGAGUCCAGUUGGAGCUGACUUGCAAAGUUAACAAGUUUGAAGAUGCAUCCAAUUUUUCUAAACUUGUUAGAUUGGCAAGGUGCUUUUCAGAUAUAAUACCCUCGAAGAAGUUUUCCCUAAUUCGUAGAUAACGCAAGGAUGAAAUUCCUCCUAAUGAGAUAGGAAUAUGACCAGAAAACGAGUUUCUAUCAAUAGAAAGAGAGGACAAACUUUUGAAUUGGCCAAGUUCAUUGGGAAAAUAACCCGAAAGCCGAUUCAUUCCCAGGUCUAAAUGUUCUAAACUUUUACAUUCUCCAAGAGUAUCUGGAAAAGAACCUAACAGUUUAUUUCUUCUCAAGCUUAAAAACUCUAGACUUUUUCUAGGCCUAUUAUAUGACAAAUUCAAAAGUUGGAAACUACAAAGAUUUCCUAGAGAUCUAAAAAUUUCCACUUCAAGAGCAUUGUAUGAUAGGUCAAGAUAUGUGAUAGAAGUGAGAUUUCCAAUAUCAUUUGGAACGAUACCAUGAAAAUUGUUAGACUCAGUAUUGAGGGAUCCAAGAUCGAGGUGUUCAAGGCUAGUUAUAUGAUAUAACCAAUCAGGAAUAGGAGAAGUGAAGUAGUUAUAAGAAAGAUCUAGGAAUCUAAGAGAAGUCAUGUUACGAAGACUUGAUGGAAUUGGGCCCUGAAUAUUGUUAAAUGCUAGAUUAAGAGUAACAAGAGAAUUAAGAUUAGCAAACCGAUCAAAUGAUAUAGAAAUAAAAUAAUUAUUUGAAAGGUCAAGGAUGACUAGAGAUGAAAAAUUGACAUGUGGGAGAGGGUCAAUAGUUUGAAGCCCACACGUCGACAAGCGCAACACAGAUAAAGAAUGGAACUUGUUCAUUACCUGUAACCAAUUUGAUGCUUUGCUUAGGUUCACACCUGUCAUGUCAAGGAACUCUAGGAAGGUAAGACCAAAAAUCCACUCAAGAUCCUCAGCAUUCAAAUAAGAAUUCCCAAUGUCAAGAUAAUGCAACUUGGAUAAAUUUCCGAGUUGAUGAGGAAUAACACCACCAAAAUCUGCACUAGAGAGGUUAAGAUAUCUUAAAUUGGAGAGGGCACCAAAGAAUUUUGGAAUAUUAAGGAACCCAAAGUAAUUACAGCUCAAGUCCAAGUAUCGAAGAUGCUUCAAGUCCAACAAAGAACUACUUAUCUCACCACCCAGAGAACCAUGAUCUGGAUAAAGAUCCCGUCGGAGGUUGAGCUUGAGAACAUGUCCUGUUGUGUUGUGACAACGAACUCCUUCCCAAUUACAACACUCUUCACUGACCCAAGAAGAGAGUCUAUUUGAAGGAUCAUGAAUGCCUCUUUUGAAGCUCUAAAGAGCUUCUCUUUCUUCUUCUCUGCAAAGAGCCUUUGGACUAUGCCCAGCACAAAAACCGAACUUUGUGAUUGUAGUGAAAAGAAAAUAGAGCAAGAGAACCACUAAACCUCUCAUGUACAACUCCAUUAGGCGAGAUGAUUUUAGAGCACACAAUGUGAAGGGUUUCAAGGAUUAUCUAAUAUUUAUAGUCAUUAGAGACAUGGCCGACAAGACUAUAGUGUUGCCUUAUUCUAAAAAUUUCUGAUGUCGAUAGGUCAAUUUAUUGUGUUAAAAAAGGAUAGCUGUGGAGUGUGGACUAGCUGUGUAUACGGAUAGGUUUCGUGGAAAAGAAAAUACAUGAAAUGGCAUAAUUACACUUGCUAUGAUGUAAGUUUAGAAAAGUAUUUCCAUGUUCUGCAAUUUUAAGUAAAAUCCAAUACUAUUAAAGAUGACAUAAUUAUAUAUUUUAUUAAAUAUAUAAUGCCGAUCUUGUCUCCAAUAACUUGUCGGUUGGAGUUCACUCUGGCUUUGAUAUUUUUACAAACUAAAUAAUUUUUAUUUAAGGAGAAUCUUAUUAGUAUUUUAUUUUUAUCAUUUUUCAUGUUAUUCAAAUAUAUGUAAAUCAUUUUCUCUUAUAUUUUUCUCUUUUAUUUAAUUAGCAUGUUUUAGGAACCAAACUUCAUCUUAAAAUUUUAGAAUAAGUUCAUUGCAUAAAUAAUUAAAAAAACAUUUCAUACAAAUGAUGGUUAAUACAUGUAUAUAUAAGAAAGUACAAGACAUUAGUUUUUAGAAAACAUUGGAUAGGGAUGGCAACGAGAUGAGUUCAGGAUGGAUUAUCUCCAUCCCAACCUCAUCCCAUUUAUUUAUAUCUAUUUUGGCUCAUCCCCACAAAAAAAAAAAAAAAAAAAAAAAAAAAAACAUUUAAAGAGGGCAAUAAAUGAGAAAGUAUAAGACAUUAGUUUCUAGAAACCAUUGGAUAAGGAUGGUAAAGGAGCAAGAUGGAUCACUCUCAUCCAAAUCUCAUCCCAUUUAUUUAUAUCUAUUCUCAUCCUUGCUAAAAAAAAUAAAAUAAUAAAAUUAAAUAGGGUUGGGUAGAAUUGGUAUAGGAAAUUCCAAUAAUCCCCAUAUGCCUCAUUUAUUUUUUAUUUUAAAAAUUUUAAAUAUUAUCUAUCAAUAAAGAAAUAUUAUAAAUAUUUAUAAUUUUGAAAAGUAAUAUUUUAUGUAUGUUAAAAAAUUUUGAAAAAAAACAAAAAACGAAAAUAAUUUUUUUAUUUAGAAUUACAUAUAAUUGGGGUGGGGUAGAGUGGGAAAAAGUUGUACCUAAACUCGCCCCAAACCCAUCUUGGUUUUUAAAACUUCACAAACUUGUCUUGAACCCAUUUAUCUUUAUCCCAAUCUCUUCCUAUUUGGGGAGGGAUGGGUAGGUAUUCAAAAAAACCUAUUCCAUUGUCAUCCCUACUAUUGGACCAUGAUGAAAUUAUCAUACAUUUUAUAUUAAAGAGUAAAAAUCACUUUAUAAAAGUAGAGAUACAUGUAGUAUGUACCACGCAUAAAUAUAAUGUUACACAUUAAUGUUAUACCUAUAACAGUAUCAUGACCUUAGCUUUCUCCGUGUGAAAAAUUUUAAAAUAUCAAGGAUUAUUUUUGGUAGUAGAAGGAUGACUCUCUCUUACCGUGGUUGACUUGCAAGUAAUGAGAGUGACCGUGACAAAAUUUUCCAUGAAAAGAAGAAAAGAUGAUCAUAUGGUCUUGUCCUCUUUGUGAUUUCCUCUACCAUAUUGCCCAACUAGUAAAAACCAAUGUCAUGGGAAUAUGGUCUGUUUGCAAUUAGGCUUGGUCGUGCUUGACUAGCAAAGAGGCAAAUGACAAAAUCUUCUGGGUUUUCUAAGUUAAUUAAAAGAAAAAUGCAAUUUUUCAAAUGAAAAUGUAAUUUCUAUUUCUCCGAGGAUACAUAAAUUUGUAUCUCCUCAUUCAAUAUGCCUUAUACACGAAGUAGUUUUAGGAUCAUCAUUUUUUCUCACUAAAUAAAAGAAGCUAUUGGCAACAGUGAUAAGUAUAGCCAUUAGCAGCAAAAAGAAGAUCGUGCAACCUUUAAUCACAGCUACUUAAAAGCCCAUUAAAACUUGCUUGCAUUUUAUAGAUGUAUUUUCAUCUUCAUUUCCAUGAAGAAAAUUUGGCAAUCAAAGAUAUAAUAUAUAUAUAUAUAUCUGUAUAGAACUUCACAUGUAUAUCUCAUUAGAGGACAUCUAUUCCUCUAUUUGCAUACAUAAUAAUCCAAAUUAUAUGUUUUAAUUUUUUGGGUCAACUUUCCACAUAGUUAGGAACAAAUAAUGAAAAAAAAAAAGUCAUCUAUUGACUCUUCUCGCUACCCAACAGCAGAAGCAGACAAUUGGCCUGUAGGUAGUGAGGGCACGAGCUUGACCCAUAGGCUAUGAAAAUGAGAUGGCUUUUAAAAAACUGCAUGCAGAAAUUGAAAGAAAUGAAAUUUUAAGCAACACGCCAAUGUGUAUAUACACAGUGGACAAUGAUCUUUGCCCGUAGGUGGUGAAAAUGAGAUGGCUUUAAAAAACUGCAUGCAGAAAUUGAAAGAAAUGAAAUUUUAAGCAACACGCCAAUGUGUAUAGACACAGUGGACAAUGAUCUUUGCCCGUAGGUGGUGAGGCAUGAGCUUGACCCAUAGGCUAUGAAAAUGAGAUGGCUUUUAAAAAACUGCAUGCAGAAAUUGAAAGAAAUGAAAUUUUAAGCAACACGCCAAUGUGUAUAUACACAGUGGACAAUGAUCUUUGCCCGUAGGUGGUGAGGCAUGAGCUUGACCCAUAAGCUAUGAAAAUGGGAUGGCUUUUAAAAACUGCAUGCAGAAAUUGAAAGAAAUGAAAUUUUAAGCAGCACGCCAACGGGGAAUCUAAAGCUCAAAAUGUGGAAUUCCUGUUGUCAAUGCAAUAUAUAUAUAUAUAUAUAUAUAUAUAUAUAUAUAUUUCCUUCAACACAGUGGACAAUGAUCUUUGCCCAUAGGUAGUGAGGGCAUGAGCUUGACCCAAAGGCUAUGAAAUGAGAUGGCUUUAAAGAACUGCUUGCAAAAGUUGAAAGAAAUGAAAUAUAUAUAUAUAUAUAUAUAUAUUUCCUUCAACACAGUGGAAAAUGAUCUUUGCCCGUAGGUAGUGAGGGCAUGAGCUUGACCCAGAGGCUAUGAAAUGAGAUGGCUUUAAAGAACUGCUUGCAGAAGUUGAAAGAAAUGAAAUUUUACUCAGCACGCCAAUGUGGAAUUCCCGUUGUCAAUGCAUUUGAUAACGAAGUUCAGACUCAUAAAAUUAAAAGUUUAGAGUAAAGAGAGAAAUUGAAGUUGAAGGUCAAGCCAUGAAAAGCCUGGGAACUUGAGGGAUUAGUUUUAAAUUCAAUUCAGCCGGCCGGCCAAAGCCACAAAAGGAACUUGGUUUCUCCUGUUGAGUAAUGGUGUUUACAUAAGUCGGCCCCUUUUCUCCCUCAAUAUGCCUAAGACAUGGUUGUAGGGUCUUUCUAACAAGAACUGAAAGGAGUUGUUAAUUAAUGUGGUGAUAAUAAACUACAGAACUUUUGUCAUGAAACAAUUGCUAUAGGUUCAAUAUCAUUUGUGAUUUGCUUAUAAAUUUAUCCAGAAUUGUAUUUCAUAUCUCACUGUUAAAUGUGUCUUUAUUUUUCCUUCCAUUACUUCAUGUACCUUUUUCGAAUGGAUAAUGAUUCUAGAGAAUAUUUAGCAAUGUGAAAGAUUAAGGUAAUGUUUGAUAAAAUAAAAAAUAAUUGGCAAUGUGCACUUAAAUCCUUUUUUCCAUGGUUAUUCCUUGUGCUUCAAAUGUCCCUAUACGUUUAGUGCCUUGGCCUCUACGCUCUGAGCGAGCCUCAACCUUGUUAAGAGUGCCUCAUGUUCAUCCUUGUUGUUCAUAACAUCGAAGCCUAGGCAUUCGAAUGGCCUUCUUAGGGUCAUAUCUUUAGGAGAUACUAAGGCCACCCAUGCUUUUGUAUGGACGUGGCUGUAGCUGAGCUGUCCACCCUAAAUUCCCAUGGCAAACUUAUGCUUAGGUUAGAUUCUCAUGUCAUGUCUGAUUCUUUACUUUUCGUGAAGUCUACCAGGAAAUUUGCAACCAUUUAUGUCUUCAAGGUGAUUGGCAUACAUGAGUCUGUUAAUUAUUAAUCAUAGCUGGUUUUAAAGAAACUUUCAGAGUUCUUGGCAUUGUUAUAAUCCUUUUAUCUGGCAUUAGGAUUUCGUCUUUGACAAGCAAACGUUCAGAAUGAGACCCUUGGGUGAUAAAAUGAUUAUAUAAAUUGCAAAGGUUUAAGGAACUGCUACAACAAACCAUGGCAAUCAACUUUGUGGAAACUGAAUGGAGUAAAUUACAGUAAGAUCGCAAAGUACUUGAGGUUGCAGUGAGGCAGCAACUUCAUGAAAAAAGACAAGUCCAAGUGCAAAAGCUAUAUAAUUUUUAUUAAUGAUGCCAAGCUAUAAGCCACAAAUGGAUAAUAAAUGGUGAAUGAAAGACUAGAAAAUGGAGUCAAGAUGAUAAGACUGAAUAUGUGAGCAGUUGAAACAAAUAUGAAUAUUGAAAGUAUAAAGCGACAAUGAGGUAGUGAAUUUCAUUAUCAUUGUGGAAGUAGCUUGAAAAUGCUGAACUCACCUACCUCUGAAGAUACUUCAGCUGUGGUUGCCAAGAAAAGUGAGUAAAGGCUAGGAAAGAAAAUAAAAAUUUUAAAUCAAGGAACCACCUGGGGCGGAUUUCAUCUAGGAAGAAAGAAACAUUUUAUGGGUUUUGCAAUAACUCAAAAUUUUAUUUCACAGAUUGCUUCUCUUACAUAUACAAUGACAUGAGAUCUGUUUGCAGUGAUUAACAUUUCUCUUGAUUAGAUGUGUUAGACUGACACUUCUAUCCAAAUAUUUAUUUUUUUGGUGUUUUUGAGUCAUGAAAACUCCAUGUUAGAUUUAUCUGAGCAACCGAAAUUAAUAGUCACAAAAGGAAAGUUAGGAUAUGAGUGUUGGGUUUCCCUUCUUUGUGGGACUCUUAAAUUUACUAAAUAUGGUUUUGCUAUUUUUGGCCAACACCUUGGUUAGCACAUGACUCUUGGCAUAUUCAAGAUUGGUUUGAAGUCUUCAAGGAAAGAAAAAGCUACAAGUCUUUUUGUCUUUUCCUUGGGUUCAUUAUCUUGGUCGGAAAGAAGACUUUUGGGAUACCUUUUUGGUUCAAACAAAAUAAAAAGAAAAUCAGCCUUCUUCUUCUCUAUUUUUUUUUGGUGCUACACAAUCAGCAAGUUUGUUCUUCAAGUGGGUAACGUUCCUUCACUUGAUAUUUGGGGUUUCUUGCGGUUUGUUCUUGGAGAUUUGGUUUACUUUUGUGAGGUAUUUUUCCUCUUGUAAUUUACACCUUGGUGUGUUUGUAAGGCUUAUGCCUUUUGGCCACUUUGUAAACUCUUUUGGUGAUAGUGGAAGAAACUGACCUACCGGUCGUCGUGGACGUACCUCAAGUUAUUUGAGGGAACCACGUAAAUCUUGUGUGCUCAUUUAUUUUCUGUUAUUCUAUUUAUAUUGCUUCCAUUGAUUUACACUUGUGGGAAAGCCUAGUUUUUUUUCAACAUCUGGUAUCAGAGCUGUUGGUUAAUUCGAUUCCGAUUCGUUAUAUUUGUGUGUGUGAAUUAUGGACGGCAAUGUUGGGCGUAUGGUUAGUUUCAAUGGCACAAAUUGGGUGACUUGGAAAACUAAAAUGGAAGACCUUUUGUUUUGUAAAGAUUUGAAUGGACCCAUAGAGGGUGAUAGUGGCAAACCGGAAGGGAUGAAAGAUGACGAGUGGAAAAAGCUAGACCGAAAAGCUGUCGGUUUUAUUCGGCAAUGGAUUGAUGAUAGUGUCUUUCAUCAUGUCUCUACAGAAAAUUCAGCACAUGGUCUUUGGACCAAAUUGGAGAGUCUUUAUGAUAGAAAGACGGCCGUGAAUAAAGCUUUUUUAUUUCGAAAGCUUGUGAAUUCUAAAUAUAAGGAGGGUACUCCUAUUGCAGAGCAUUUGAAUGAGAUUAAGAGCAUUGUGAAUCAAUUGGCCGCCAUGAAAAUUACCUUUGAUGAUGAGUUGCAAGCUUUGUUACUUCUUAGUUCACUUCCUGAAAGCUGGGAAACUUUGGUGGUCACAGUUAGUAACUCCACACCUGAUGGAGUGGUAACAAUGAGUCAAGUUACUAGCAGCCUGUUGAAUGAAGAGACAAGAAGAAAAUCAUCAGGUUCUUCUCACUCCGAGGCACUUGUGAUAGAAAAUCGAGGGAGAGGCAGGAGUAAGAGUAAGGCUUCGCACAACCGUGAUAAAUCUAGAGGUCGUUCAAGCUCGAUUUCAAAGAAAGAUGUUGAGUGCUAUUAUUGUCACAAGAAAGGGCACAUGAAGCGGGAGUGCAGAAAACUCAAGUUCAAGGAGCAGAACAAAGAGAAAAAUUCAGAGAAAAAGCAAAAUGAUACAGCUGUAGUUACCGAUGGUGAACUCAUGAUUAUUCGUGAUGAUGUUAGCGUUAAUUUGAUUGGCCAAGAGACGGAUUGGGUAAUUGAUUCUGGAGCUUCAUUUCAUGUUACUUCGCGGGCUGAUUUCUUUACUUCUUACUCGCAAGGUGAUUUUGGGAAUGUCCGUAUGGGAAAUGAAGAUGUGUCAAAAAUUGUCGGCAUGGGUGACAUUUGCUUGGAAACAAAUACUGGAUGCAAAUUGUUGCUUAGAGAUGUGAGGCAUGUACCGGAUAUUCGGCUCAAUUUAACGGAACUGAUAUUUUUGCAAAAAUCUGCAAGUGUGUUGUGAAUACCUUAGAGAAUGACUCAUCCACCGAUUUAUGGCAUAGAAGGCUUGGACAUAUGAGUGAGAAAGGAUUGCAAGUUUUAUCCAAGAAAGAGCUUCUAGCGGGGAUAAAAGGUACGCCUUUGAAAACAUGUGUUCAUUGUUUCCAUGGUAAACAAAAUAGAAUAUCAUUCCGUAGAAACAUUGCAUUUAGAAAAUCUCAUGUUCUAGAUUUGAUACAUUCUGAUGUGUGUGGUCCUUUGAAAGUUAGGACACUUGGUGGUGCUCAAUACUUUGUCACUUUUAUUGAUGAUCACUCUAGAAAAGUUUGGGCUUAUACACUGAAAACUAAAGAUCAAGUUCUAGAUGUGUUUAAGCAUUUUCAGGCCAAGGUUGAAAGAGAAACUGGUAGACAGUUGAAAUGUGUCCGCUCGGAUAAUGGUGGUGAAUAUAUUGGACCAUUUGAUCAGUAUUGCACUAAUCAUGGCAUCAGGCACGAAAAGACAGUAAAAAAGACACCUCAACAGAACGGGGUUGCAGAGAGAAUGAAUCGCACCAUUCUUGAGAGAGUCAGAUGUUUGCUCUCACAUUCUAAAUUGCCAAGAUCUUUUUGGGGUGAGGAAAUGAGGACAGCAGUUGAUCUUAUCAAUUUGUCUCCUUCAGUUCCGUUGAAUGACAAAUUUGUCUCCUUCAGAUCUCAUGUACGCAAAUUGUUGUAUGACAAAUUUAAAUGGCUCAAAAAUGAUAUUUUUGCCAUACCUUGAGGAAUAACACCAGAAAGUCUGUUCAUGGAGAGAUCAAGAGACUCCAUUGAUGUCAUGGCCCCAAUCUUCACAGGAAUCUUCCCUUGGAGAUGGUUAUUAGACAGGUUCAAGAAUACCAAACCAUGGAGACCUGUGAGUUCUUCUGGGAUCUCACCAGAUAACUUAUUGCUUGAGAGGUCCAUGCCAGCUAGGAGGCCAAGAAUAUUGCUGUACUCGUACUCUACUCCUUUCAUAACCAGUGUUGCUGUGUCGGUUGAUCCCGAUUCAAAAUAACGUUCAUUAUGAAAAGGAAAGGGGGAACUUGAAUUCGAUUGUUUGAUCAUGCUGCUGAAAUUACCAAAGCAUCUGGGAAUGGUUCCGGAGAGAUUGUUGUUUCCCAAGUCCAGGAUUUGAAGGGAAUGAAGGUGGCAAAGUUCAAGAGGAAUACUUCCAUUGAACUUAUUUGAAUGAAGGACAAGAACCAUUAGACCCGGUGUAUAUGUAAUCUCACCAUCCCCUGGUAAUAUUUCAAUGAACUUUCCAUUGAAGUUCCCCAUCCAUGCUGGUAUCGUCCCAGUGAAUUCAUUCUUACUAAGGUCUAGAACCACUAGACUAGAGCAAUUUUUCAAUGGAAGUGGAUAAUUUCCGGAGAGAUGGUUGUUGCGCAAGUGCAAUGAACCGAGCCAAAUUAGAGAACCCAUGGAGCUAGGUAUAUGUCCCGUCAGAUUAUUAUUUCCCAAUUUUAACAUCGUCAAUUCUCUCCAAUACAUCCAACAAUUGGGAAGUUCUCCUGACAGAAGAUUUCCUGAGAUGUCUAGAGACUCCAAUAAAUUUACUUCUUUAUCAGUUCUCCGACACAACAUGGGUGAAAGAGAUCCACAGAAUAAAUUAUUGGAGAGGUCUAGUCUUUCUACAUCAGAAGAGAUUUGGGGCAGUGGAUCAGUAAAAUUGUUUGAGCCAAGAUUGAUUGAUGAAAAAUGUAAACUUGGAAUACUACCAAUGAUUUGGUUGUGAGAUAGAUCUACAGUACUAAGUGAUCGAGUCCAAAACCAAGCUGGGAUGACACUGGAGAUUCCUGCAUAGGACAUGUUUAGAUCUUCCAAAUACUCCUGUGUUUGAAGCCAUGCAGGAAAUUGAGGCCCUAGAAGGCAAGAACCCAAGUAUAAGUAUGUGAGUUGAAAAGGAGGAGUCCAGUUGGAGCUGACUUGCAAAGUUAACAAGUUUGAAGAUGCAUCCAAUUCUUCUAAACUUGUUAGAUUGCCAAGGUGCUUUUCAGACAUAAUACCCUUGAAGAAAUUUUCCCUAAUGUUUAGAUAACUUAAGGAUGAAAUUCCUCCUAAUGAGAUAGGAAUCUGACCAGAAAACAAGUUUCUAUCAAUGGAAAGGUAGGAUAAACUUUUGAAUUGGCCAAUUU